GACGGAGGGUGCAAGCGUUGCUCGGAAUCACUGGGCGUAAAGGGUGCGUAGGCGGUCUCGCAAGUCUGGCGUGAAAGCCCAAGGCUCAGCCUUGGAAGUGCGCUCGAAACGGCGAGGCUGGAGUGCCGGAGGGGAGAGUGGAAUUCCCGGUGUAGCGGUGAAAUGCGUAGAGAUCCGGAGGAACCCCAGAGGCGAAGGCGGCGCCCUGGCUCGCAACUGACGCUCAGACACGACAGCAUGGGGAGCGGAACGGG
rnacentral:rRNA from 1 species